rnacentral:piRNA from 2 species
UUUUAAAUGCUGAGGUAGCUGCACUGCUC